CUAAAAAAUAUAUUUUAAAAAAAUCUCUGAAAAAAAAACUCCAAAAAUACAAUACAAAAUACACUCAUUAUAUAAUACAUUGAACAACAAACAUAAUCUUUAACAAUUUAAAUUAAAGCCUUAUCCCAGGAACAUCACGGUUGAUGCUCAUGAUGCCAAACCACUCAGAUGUUCCUGGGAGUCAUAAGGCUGAUAUUAAUUCAGCUCCAUCAAAUCGGCUGUGCUUGUUUUACUUUCAUAUACUUAAAAUGUAGGUAAUUAUAUUAUUAUUAUACAAUUAUCAUUUAUUUAGCUCCUUUGUCAGAAUAUUUUAUGAGUUUUAAUAAUUCUUAUAUUUUUAUAAUAAGAUAUCUGCAGCAAUAUUUGCUCUUUGGGUUAUGCAAGCAAACAAAAUUCAACCUUAGUCAAUAUUUAUCCUUCAUUUUGUAUUAGCUGCUAGUGCAGUUGUAACUGCAACACUACAACUAACGAUAGAAGCCAGCAAGAUGCACAGGGAGACCGGGGAGACCGACAUUAUGAUGUUUACAAGCCCAAAACAUUUGAGACUGUUUGCUUACACAUUUAGUUUGAUUUGAUUUGUUCCAAUUUAUUCUUAGAGCAAAAGGUGGGGACAGUGCAAUAUGUUGAAGUAUGUGUUAUGCAAUAUGUGCAAUAUGUUUUUAUGUUUAAAGCAUGAGGAAGGGUUCGGGACGGAACCAAACUCUGAAUCUGAUAUUGACUCAGAUGAAUUUGAAGUGAAAUAAUGAUGAAUAUAUUUUAUAUCAUAUCACCGUUAUUGAAUAAAAGUAUAUUGUGAUAUAUUGAUACUGAAUUAUUGUCCAGCCCUAUAGCUAAACCAAACCCGCUGUUUUUCCUUUUGGUUAGAUUCUACAUCAGAUUAAACAGCACAAACCAAAAAUACAGACUACUGUACAAUCUGCAGUGUUAUUUUCAUGGCAACAUAAUAUUUCAACUUACCUUAAUUUUAUGGAAAUUCGGCGUUGGACGGAAGAAAUAUGCACUUCACCUCCAAGUCACAGCCAGCUUGCUUUCCGAUUCCGAAUGGACUGUUAACGUUUUGAGCGCGAAACACGGCCUUUGCAUACAGGCCCCAGAGAUGUCCGAACUGCCUGACCAAAUAACAAUUUAAUACAGUAAAAUUCGUAAAUUAAAGGAUAUGUGAGAGAAUUAACAAACGACUUGACUGCUUCGCUGGCUUCAUUAUGAAUGAGCCUAAUUAGGUGUUGUUGUGCAUAACAGGCAGUGGUGGAGAGUACUGAAAAUCUGUAGUCAAGUACAAUUAAGUGCAUUGCUAAAAUAUUACUCAAUUACGAGUAAAAGUACCAGUGUUAGAGAAAUACUCAAGUAAAAGUACAGUUUGUAAAAAAAAAAAAA